rnacentral:lncRNA from 1 species
UAAGAGUUAGGGUUACAAAUGGAGGCACACUUUAGUACAUAUAGAGAACAAACUCUAGGUCUAAGGGGGUGUGUACAAAGACAAUCAUACCCUCUCUUAGCCUUGUAACCCGAGUAACCCAAGUAACCUGUAAUCCGAGUAACCCAAGUAACCUGUAACCCGAGUAACCCAAGUAACCUACAUUUAACCCUUAACUAUGACUUAGUUAGUGUUAAAUGUCUUCUUGAUUAACACUCCCCCUCAAGUUUAUAUCACAAUGCCCAAUUGUGUAUAAACUUGACACUUGUAUGAAUAACCUCAUUAAAAACCUAAGCUUGGAAAACCACGUGGGACAAAACCAAGCUUAGGGAAAAAGAGUCUUAUCCCUACAAGUUGGAGAAUAUUUCUCAAGGAUGUGUGAGGUCUACAAGACCAAGUUUGCCAUGGAUAAAUUGACAAACUUGGUUACUUGCUGCCUUGGUGAAGAUAUCGGCCAAUUGGUCCUAAACUCUUAGUGUAGCAAGGAAGGAUUGUACCGUCUUCGAUCUUCUCUCUUGUCUUGUGGCAGUCCGUCUCUAUGUGCUUGGUCCUCUCGUGGAACACGGGGUUAGUAGCAAUAUGGAUGGCUGCUUGGUUGUCUCAAUGGAAGGUAAUUGGCGUCUUUUGCUCGAUCCCAAAGUCCUUUAGAAGAGCCUUCAGCCAUGUCAACUCGUUUGUGAGCUUCUUCAUAGCCCUAUACUCCGCUUCAGCACUCGAACAUGACACCACCUUCUGUUUCUUUGUCUUCCAAGUUACAAGAUUGCCACCAAUGAAAGUGCAAAAGCCGGUUGUGGACUGCCUUGUGUUGCGAUCUCCAUUGUAGUCUGCAUCACAGUACCCAACAAUUUCCGUGCUAAAGUUUCUUCCCAUCCAAAUGCCUUUGCCGGGACUCCCUUUGAUAUAUCUCAAAAUUCUCUCCACCAUGCUCCAAUGGUACACCGUAGGGACUUGCAUAUGUUGAGCCACCUGAUUCACGGCAAAAGAGAGAUCAAGCCGAGUAUAUGUCAAAUAAAUGAGCUUACCAACAAGUCUUCGAUACUGUUCCGGGCAAUGAUAUGGAGUAUCAUCCUUCUCCCCCUUUCGAUUGACCUUGUAUCCUUGCUCUAGUGGUGUAUCCACCGGUUUAGCUCCAAGUUUCCCUGUAAGCUUUAGAAGAUCGAGUGCAUAUUUCCUUUGUGAGAGAAACAGUUCCUCCUUGGAUCUACACACUUCAAUCCCUAAGAAAUACUUCAACACACCUAAAUCUUUAAUAUCAAAGGCUGAGUGUAAAGAAGACUUAAUGGCUUGAAUACCCUCUUUGUUACUGCCCGAGAUAAUCAAGUCAUCAACAUAGACCAAUACCACUACUAUGCCUUGAUUAUCUUGCUUUGUGAACAAAGUGUGGUCCGAAUGUGACCUCUUGAAGCCAUUUGCCAAUAGAGUGGUGCUUAGCUUGUGAUACCAAGCUCUUGGAGACUGUUUGAGACCAUAGAUUGCUUUCUAAAGCCUUAAGACCUUUCUCGUAGCCACUAUGUCUUCUAAACCCGGAGGAGGUGACAUGUAGACUUCUUCUUCUAACUCCCCCUGAAGGAAAGCAUUCUUGACAUCCAUUUGCCACAACUCCCAAUCCAAAUUAACCGCUAAAGAUAGAACCACCUUUACCGUGUGUUGUUUAGCUACCGGAGCAAACGUUUCCCUAUAGUCAUCACCAUAAGUUUGCGUGAACCCUCUUGCAACCAGCCUAGCCUUAUAUCUCUCAAUUUCACCAUCACUCUUGUACUUAAUUGUGAAUACCCAUUUUGAGCUAACACACUUCUUCCCUUUUGGUAGUUCUUCUUCAUCCCAAGUCUUGUUUCUUAUCAUAGCUUGUACUUCAUCAUCUACAACAUUAGUCCACUUCUCACUUUCCUUAGCUUCCUCAUAGUUUUGUGGGAUAGAUUCUUCAUUUAACUUGCUCACAAAAGCUUGAUGAUCUUUAGGUAAGAGGGCAAUCGAACACGUUGCUUGUAUUGGAUGAGCCACGGCUUGAGCAUUGUAGUAGGGGAUUCUAGCUUUCUUCCAUUCAGAAGGAGAUUUCUUCUCUCUUGUACUCUUCCUUGGAUUUUCCCGUGUGUAGACCGGAUCUUGUGUGACUUGUGGAGCUUGAUAAGUCCCAUCUUCGCUCGAAGACUCAAUAACUUCUCCUUCACUAGACUGACCCUUCUCUACCACUCCUUCACUAGACUCCUCUCUUCUACCACUGUCUUGGCGAUUAUCCAACAGAUUCUGAGAUGCAUCGUUAUCAUUCUCUCUGACUUCAUUCUCAUCCACAUUUGGUGUUGGUGAAGCUUCCUUAUCUGCCUGAGGAGAACUCGCAUUUCCCAAAUGCUCCAGAAUGUGACGGAGACUUGCAGCUCGAUCAAAGGUAGAAUUAGGUAGAUCUUUAAUACUCUCCCAACUCUUUUCCCCAAAGUAUGCCUUGUCUUCCAUAAACUUGACAUCCCUUGACAGGUAAUACCGAUUGGUGACUGGAUCGAAGCACUUGUAACCUUUCUGAGUUGUUGAGUACCCAAUGAAAACACACUUAUUACUCUUGGGUUCCAGCUUGUUUCUCAAGUCACCUGGGACAAACACAAAACAAAGACUUCCAAAGACCCUCAAAUGAUCAAUGUUAGGGUUAGUUUUGUUUAAAAUCUGAAAUGGAGAUUUAUCAUCAAGGAUACGUGUCGGUAUUCGAUUGAUGAGAUAACAUGCUGUCAUCACCGCAUCUCCCCAAAACCGCUUUGGCAUAUGCUUCUGAAAUAACAUAGCUCUUGCCACCUCCAUUAAAUGCCUAUUCUUCCUCUCGGCAACUCCAUUUUGUUGUGGAUUGUAUGGACAGCUCGUUUGGUGAAGGAUUCCGCAUUUCUCCAAGUGUUCUUUGAGCUUGUUGCUUGUAUAUUCACCUCCAUUAUCUGUUCUAAGAAUUUUAAUCUUUGCAUCAAAGUGAUUAGUCACAUAGUUUUGAAAGUUUAUAAACGCAUCAUAAACUCUAUCCUUAGAUGGCAUCAAAGUUACCCAUGUAUACUUAGAUUUCUCAUCUAUAAAUGUGACAAAGUACUUAUGAUUGUCUCUAGAUGCACAAGGUGAAGACCAAACAUCAGAAUGCACAAGGUCAAAACAUUUUUCAUAAAUCGCACUAGACUUAGGAAAAACAGCUUUGCAAUGUUUGCCUAAUAUGCAUGCUUCACAAUUUGCGCAAUCAUAAGAAAAACCAGGCAUUAAUAAACUUAAAGCUCGAGAAUGUGGAUGGCCUAGUCUCUCAUGCCACAAUACAACCGAUGUUUUAACAGAGUUUGCAAAGAUAGAAGAAACAUUAUUCUUAGAAACAGAAUUUAAAGAGAUGUCUUGAAACACAUAUAAGUCAUCCUUGGUGCUUCCUUGCCCAAACACUUUUCCACUCUCAAUAUCCUGCAACUUCACGUCAUUAGGACUAAAAAUAGCUAAACAAUUCAAGUCCUUAAUCGUUUUCUUAACAGAGAGAAGAUUUGAAGUGAACUUAGGCAUAUAGAAAGCACUAGACUUCUUAUUGAACAAAUCUAUGCAACCUAUGCCUUCUAUUGGAACAUUAUGUCCAUUUGCAACUUUAACAUUACCUAAGGCCGGUUUAAUGUUCUCUAACAACCUAGGGUUACUAAUCAUAUGGUGAGAAGCCCCUGAAUCUAAUACUAAUGAAUCUUUAUCACGAGUAUUAGAAGUUAAGAGAGAAAUACCGCCAGUGUGUAAUUUAGAUGCAAUGGAUUGGAGGAGGGACUCGAGGUCAGCCUUGUUCAUGACAAUAGUCUCCUGAGCUUGUGAGGUAGAUGCGCCACUCUUGCCUUGUGUAAUGGCCUGCAUCGCUUUCUCUUGCCUGUACUGAACCAUAGCUCUUUCUUCAUUCUGUGACCCACCAUCACUUCCAUUAACCGCAUUCGCCUUUGGCUUGAAGUUCUUGAAUUUUUCCGGUUUUAAAUGGGGAUGAAGAAGCCAGCAUUUAUCCUUCAAGUGACUUUUUUUCUUACAAUGAUCGCAAACCAACAGUUUCUUGUCACCUUGUUUCACUGUCCCAACUUUGUUUGCCGUAGGUAGGUUCUCCUCUUUGUUGCCAAAAAGACCUUGAGGACCAUACUCCCUUUGUAUCUUUGAACAUACUUGCUCCAAGGUUGGUACUUUGUCAUCUCUCAAGAUAUGUUGAAUCACAUCCUUGUAUGUCGAGUUCAGCGUCAUCAUUGUUGGUGUCGGAUCCCGCACCAGAAGUACGAGACCAACCAAAGAUUACCACGUGGUCAAGAUAAUGGCCCUUAAAAGAUGAAGCCCAUUGGACCCAUGAGCCGAAGGAACGGUCGAAGUGGUUGUCACCACUUCGAGAAUCCGAAGUGACUGCAUUGUGACAUGAGUUCGAUGUAGAAGACACGGGUAAGUCGGUUCAAGGAUGCUUGGGCCAAAAGGCGAAGCCCAUGAAGAUCAGAGUCAACUCAAAUUCAAACGUUGAGCAUUAAAGCCGAAGAUCAAAACGGACACAUUUAAGAGAGAAUAAUUACACUUAAUUAGCCACUUUAAAUGUCGUUUCUCUAUGUAUAAAUAUAAAGGCCAAUGGCUAUGUAAUGGGGAUCUUCCUCUCAAGAAAGAAAUACUAUAGCAAUUUUCGUAGCAAUUUAGAAGUUUUUACCUAUUCAUUUUUGUCCCUCAAGAAUAAUCUUUCCUACUUAAUAAAAUACUUGAGUGUGUGAAUCCGACAUCCACAUUUUGGCGCCGUCUGUGGGGAGAAUUAGGAUUCUUGAGUGGUCAGAUUUUUUCUUUACUACAUUUCCGAGAUAAGCAACAAUGUCCGGAGGAGACGCCGUUGAGACAUCAUUGGCCGAAACCCUCAAAGCUAUGCAGCAAACCAUGUCGGACAUAUCACAAAAGUUCUCGGAUGUGGAAAAGGCCGUCGAUACGUUGCAAACAUCCCAGGUAUCUCUUAGUCAAAACGUCAAUACUAUACAAACUCGUGUUCGCUCUUUAAGUGCAGGAAACCUUGCGGGAAUCCGAAGAGGGAUAUUCAACUCGCCAAGUUCCGCUGUACGAAAUGAAACCAGCGGACAAACAACUCCCGGUGCUACUAAUAAUGUAGCUCAGACAUUGGAAGAAGAGACACAGCUCGGGGAUGAAGAACAACUUGCAGCUCAGUACGAGCAGGAAAACCUCGACCAGUUCGAGACCAUGAGGAAGGUUAGCCAGGAGUUAAAAGAAAUGAAAUCAAAAUUUCAUCAAGCUACAAGUUCGGAGCCAGACAUCAAUCGAGUCAUUGAAGAAGCUAGGCGAACACCUUUCAUCUCGCGAAUUGCAAGUUUGAGGAUCAAAGAUUCCCGGAAACUCAAGUUGGACCCUUACAGCGGAUUGGAGGAUCCAAAAAGCUAUCUCGCAGCUUUUCUGAUCGCUGCUGGAAGAGUCGAAUUGGAUGAAGCUGAUGAGGACGCAGGCUACUGCAAGCUUUUUUCGGAGAAUCUAUGUGGCCAAGCUCUAAUGUGGUUCACCCAAUUAGAGCCGGGUUCGAUCAGUAAUUUCGACGAACUAUCAGCCGUGUUCUUAAAGCAAUAUUCCAUCCAUCCUUAUGGAUAAAAGCGUUUCGGAUGCCGAUCUUUGGAACUUGUCGCAAGGGUCAAGUGAGUCACUUCGAGUUUUCAUCACCAAGUUCAAAGGAGUGCUGUCAAAACUCCCAAGAAUCUCAUAGCAAUCAGCUUUAUCUGCCCUACGAAAAGGAUUGCGACAUGAUUCAAGGUUUAAAGAAGACUUAAUACUUCAUAAACCAGACACAAUUCAGGAUGCACUCUUCCGCGCGAACAACUGGAUGGAGGUAGAGGACGAAAAAGAAAGUUUUGCCAAAAGGAACAAACAAGAAAAGCCGGCAAUCACCGUCCCUACCAAGAAGUUCGAGCCUAGGGAGAACAAAGGACCAAGGAAAUUUGGGUCGCAACCCUUCAACAGUACCGUCGGAAAGCAAUUCCAAGGGAAAGGAAGAUCAAACACUUGGGUCCGUGAUGAAAGUCUAUAUUGCGAUAUUCAUAAAGUAACCGGGCAUUUAACCAAGGAUUGCAGCGUUCUUAAAAAGCACCUCGCAGAGCUUUGGGCCAGUGGAGAUCUUUCCAAAUUCGAUAUAAAAGAUUUUGUGAAGGAAUACCACGAAGCGAAGGAAAACUCCAAAGAUCAAGAUUCCAAAAGACCAAGGUUAUCCAACGAGGAAGAACCAAUGAGUUCGAAGGGUAAGAUCAAUGUGAUUCUAGGAGGUUCCAAGUUUUGCGGAGAUUCGAUAAGUUCCAUCAAGAAACAUAGACGAAAUAUCCUACUCAAAGCAAGCUUAAGCGAGGAAAUCGAUUUUCAAGGUGCAUCGAUAUCAUUUAAUGAAGAAGAAACGCGGUACCUCGAAAGACCGCAUGAUGAUGCUCUAGUCAUUACCCUUGACGUUGCUAACUUCGAAGUAUCAAGGAUCCUUAUAGAUACAGGCAGUUCGGUCGACCUGAUCUUUUUAAGUACUUUAGAAAGAAUGGGAAUCAGCCGAGCAGACAUAGUGGGGCCUCCGUCUCCAUUAGUUACAUUCACAAGUGAAUCAGCCAUGUCUCUCGGGACAAUCAAGCUACCGGUCCUUGCCAAAAAAGUAUCGAAGAUCGUGGACUUCGUUGUCUUCGAUAAACCCGCAGCUUACAACAUCAUCCUUGGUACUCCCUGGAUCUAUCAAAUGAAAGCAGUCCCCUCUACGUAUCAUCAAUGUAUCAAAUUUCCAACAUCAAGAGGAGUGGAAACAAUUCGGGGAGAUCAAGAAGCUUCACGGACGUGUUAUCUGGCUAGCCACCGUAUGAAGAUUCAAUAGCAAUAAACGAAGCCCGCAAAAGAGGGACUAAGAACAAAAUUUCCUAGCGGGCAGAAGAAAGAUGAUGUAGUAAUCGAAGUGGUGUUGGAAGAAGACAAGCCGGACCGGAAAAUUCGAAUUGGGGCAACUUUGACUGGCCAAAUAAAAGAAGCUUUGAUCGAACUCUUAAGGAAAAACAAAAAAUCGUUUGCAUGGUCAGCAGCAGACAUGCCUGGCAUAAAUCCAAGUAUAAUUUGUCACGAGCUAAACGUAGAUCCAAGGUUCAAGCCGGUGAAACAAAAAAGAAGAAAGCUUGGAGUGGAGCGAGCAAAAAUAGUAAACGACGAAGUGGAUAAACUUUUGAAGAUAGGGUCCAUAAGAGAAGUGCAAUAUCCGGAAUGGGUGGCAAAUACUGUCGUUGUCAAAAAGAAGAAUGGAAAAGAUAGGGUUUGCAUCGAUUUCACAGACCUAAAUAAAGCAUGUCCCAAAGAUAGUUUCCCGCUCCCACAUAUAGAUCGCCUUGUAGAGUCCACCGCUGGGAACGAGCUGUUAACAUUCAUGGACGCCUUCUCGGGUUAUAAUCAAAUAAUGAUGAACCCCGAAGAUCAAGAAAAGACGUCAUUCACCACUGAUAGAGGUAUCUAUUGUUACAAGGUAAUGCCUUUUGGUUUGAAAAAUGCAGGAGCAACUUACCAACGGUUGGUUAACAAAAUGUUCCACAAUCACCUCGGGAAGACAAUGGAAGUCUACAUAGAUGAUAUGUUGGUUAAAUCGUUAAAGAAAGAAGAUCACGUUAAGCAUUUGGAGGAAUGUUUUGAUAUUCUCAAUAAAUAUCAAAUGAAGCUGAACCCGGCGAAGUGCACAUUUGGAGUCCCAUCUGGAGAAUUUCUUGGCUAUAUCGUGACAGAAAGAGGGAUUGAAGCCAAUCCAAAUCAAAUUAACGCCUUUCUAAACAUGCCGUCUCCAAGAAACUUCAAAGAAGUACAACGGUUGAUGGGGCGGAUUGCGGCUUUGAAUCGUUUUAUCUCGAGAUCAAUAGAUAAGUCGUUACCUUUCUACCAAAUUCUAAAAGGGAACAAAUGAUUCAUUUGGGAUGAGAAGUGUGAAGAAGCUUUUGGGCUGCUUAAGGCAUACUUAACCACUCCACCUAUCAUGUCCAAACCGGAAGUGGAUGAAAAACUUUAUUUAUACGUAUCGGUUUCAAACCACGCGGUUAGUGGAGUCUUGGUUCGGGAAGACCGUGGGGAGCAGAAACCAAUUUACUACGUGAGCAAGUCAAUGACGGAUCCAGAAACCAGAUAUACAAUGAUGGAAAAACUCGCACUCGCGGUGGUGAUAUCGGCUCGAAAGCUGCGCCCGUACUUUCAAUCCCAUCCGAUUGAGGUAUUAACCAACCAGCCACUCCGAACAAUACUUCAUAGUCCAAGUCAGUCCGGACGAUUGGCGAAAUGGGCGGUGGAAUUAAGCGAGUACGACAUAGAGUUCAAAAGCCGGAUCAGUAUGAAGGCUCAGGUCUUAGCAGAUUUCCUGACCGAACUACCAAUACCUGGAACGAUAGAACAACCGGAGAACCAAACUUGGAAAUUACACGUAGAUGGGUCUUCAACAAAACAAGGAUCCGAAGUGGGAAUCAAGUUGGAGUCUCCGACGUCAGAAAUUCUAGAACAAUCAUUCCGGUUGUUAUUCAAUGCCUCCAACAACGAGGCAGAAUACGAAGCCCUGAUUGCCGGACUUCGAUUAGCACAAGGAGUUGGAGCUAAGGAAAUAUUGGCUUAUUGCGAUUCGCAAUUAGUAGUUAACCAAUUUAAUGGAGACUAUGAAGCCAAAGAUUCAAGAAUGGAAGCGUACCUCGAAGUGGUGAAGGAUUUAUCUAAAAAUUUCUCGAAAUUUGAAUUAAUCCGCAUACCUCGAGGAGAGAAUACAACUGCGGACGCGCUUGCAGCAUUGGCAUCAACAUCAGAUCCUGAGUUAAAGAGAGUUAUUCCAGUGGAAUGUAUUUCGGAGCGAAGCAUUCAAGACAACAAAGAAACCCUCGUCGUUACAAGGUCUCGAGCAGCGGCACGCGACCGUGGCGAACCAGAGAUCGAACCGCCACCCAACAAACGGAGGAAGUCAAGAGGAUCAAAUAUAUCUAACAAGGAACCCGUUGUCUUAGCUGAAGAUGUGAGUUCAGAAACAGUAUUAGAAACCGAACCGUUAAUCGAGGAGGAUGCUCUCGAACCAAACGAACAUCCCGAGCCAGAGCCACGAGUAUUUCACAAGGUUGACCAAAUUCCGGCUAAAGACUGGGGGGCUGACUGGAGGGAGCCAAUAAAGCACUACAUCAUGACAGGUGAGCUCCCAAAGAAUAAAUGGCAUGCCAGGAAAAUGAAAGUCGUUAGCGCGAAAUUUUGUCUGUCAAAUAAUGCGUUAUAUAGACGAGGUGUCAGUGACCCUUACCUAUUAUGCAUUUUUGGGCCCGAAGUCGAAAUCGUCAUGAGCGAAGUGCAUGAAGGAUUAUGUGGGAGUCAUUCAUCAGGAAGAGCUAUGGCUUAUAAAGUUAAAAGAAUGGGGUAUUUUUGGCCCACUAUGAUCACAGAUUGUGUUAAGUUCGCCCAAAGAUGCAAGCGCUGCCAACUCCAUGCACCAUUGAUCCAUCAACCGUCGGAAUUAUUCUCCUCCAUUUCCGCCCCAUACCCGUUUAUGAGGUGGUCAAUGGACAUCAUUGGACCAUUACAUAAAUCAACUCGAGGUGUACAGUACCUUUUUGUCCUUACGGACUACUUUUCAAAAUGGAUUGAAGCUGAGGCAUAUGUUGGUAUCAAAGAUUCGGCGGUGAAGACCUUUAUUUGGAAAAACAUUAUAUGUCGACAUGGAGUUCCAUACGAAAUAGUCACUGAUAAUGGACCACAAUUCAUUUCACACGAGUUUGAUGCCUUUUGUGCGGACUGGGGAAUCAAAGUUAGUUAUUCUACUCCACGAUAUCCGCAAGGAAAUGGUCAAGCUGAAGCCGCAAACAAGACAAUAUUAAGCAAUCUCAAGAAACGCUUAAGUCAUCUAAAGGGAGGAUGGUAUGAAGAACUCCAACCCGUCCUGUGGGCCUAUCGUACAACCCCUAGGCGGCCUACAGGAGAAACUCCAUUCUCUUUGGUUUACGGCAUGGAGGCGGUAGUGCCAGCUGAACUCAAUGUGCCCGGACUUCGCCGAACAGAAGCACCGUUAAAUGAGGAAGAAAAUUCAGCAAUGCUUAAUGAUUCACUAGAUACCAUAAAUGAAAGGCGUGAUCAAGCUCUAAUUCGGAUCCAGAAUUACCAGCAGGCAGCAGCCCGGUAUUACAAUUCUAAGGUUAAAAGUAGGCCUUUCUUCGUGGGAGAUUAUGUAUAAAGGCGCAUCUCCGAGAAUAUUUGAAAAGAAAGGAAAGUUGCAAAUGUUUCCAUAAAUAAAAAGGGGCCGAAGCCCAUUACGAGUUUAAAAUAAGUGAAGAAGUUAAAGAACAUUUAUGGAAGAGGCUCAGGAACAGGCUCCUUCAUCGCCGGUUUAGUCUUCGAAGUGGACGCCUUGUUCUUGGCAUCCACUUCGGAACGAUCCCGAACGCGUUUCCGACUGUUGCUGGCCUCCUCCUCCAAAUCGUCCUCCUCUUCGCUGUCAGAUGGAACGGCGCAGACAGGGACGUUCACGGGACCCGGGACUCCUUUAGCGCAGAGAUACAUCCGAAGCAUCUUCGGGAUCUCAGCGACGGAGUCGAAGUUCCGCCACUCCCAUUGAAAGGGAUCACUCUCCAAGGCCCGUAUCUUCCUCUCCACCCGAGCAAUGCGAGCCUCGAGUGUUUGCCUUUUAAGGCCCACAAGCGACGGUGCUUGUCGGCAACCUAGCAUAAAGAUGAAUGAAUAAGAUGAAACCAAAAGUUUUUAAGUCAAAAACUUUAAAUAUUUACCUUGUCGAUAAAGUCGCAAGCCUCUUUCUUCUCCUUUGAAGGAAAGUGAAAGACGGCGUGAGGAAAGAGAACGCCGGCCGGUUCAAAGCCGUCGCCGGACAAGAAGAGUGGGCUGCCGGGAUCAAUGGGGGCUACUUUUUCGUUUUCCAUUCUCGAAAUAUUUCUCAAGUAAGAUUCUAAAAUCGUGUUUAAUAAAGCUUAGAAGUAGGUAAGCCUUUAUUUAUAAUGAUUUAGGGUUUUUCUUGGAACCAUAAAUCCAAUAAUGGUAGUGUGUCCGAGUGGUUUAAACCAUUUUUGGAAAUCGAGAAAAGGCAGUUAUUGCAUUAAAAGACGAGCCGUUUUCCUUAUUUAUAAGAAGGGAAAGAGCAACCGUCGCAUUAACUACAAAAGUUUCUAAGGCCCAAGCCCAAUAAAUUUAUCGAGUUGACUAAACCCGAAGUGGGGAACUCGCUUUAAGCCGAGCUCAGCUCUCGCAUUCUAAAGAGAAAGGUCUGAUCAGCCUAAAAAUCUCAAAAGCAUAACCACAAGGCCACAAAAGGUUAAAAGCGGACUUUGCAAACCCGCAUAUAAUUUUAACCAACCCCCUUGGGUCAUAACCUAGAAAGGUUUAAAAGCCUCCUCAGGCAAAUAUCUUGUUCAAAAGAAAUGAUAAAGCCUCCUUAGGCCAAAGACAAGUUCGAAAUUAAGUUUAAACUAAGUGGGACAAUCCCCAGUUUAAAGUGGACACAGCCACUACGGAUUGACCUCCACCUCGGACCCCGGCUCAGCUUGAUCAGAUGAAGCUCCCUUACCACCCUCCGCGGUGCAACCAUCCUCCGGAGUGACCUCCGGUACCAUAGGAGCUACGGGCGGGACAACGUCUUCCGUCUCACUUGAGCCUAGAAAUAAUAAUUCCAGUCAAUCAAAGGUACAAGGUAAGAAAAGGUAAGCGUCAGGAGCCAAGCGUUACCUGCCCAGUCUAAACCCGAUUCACUUAUAGGAGGUGAUUCAGUAAAGAACUCCUCGAAGUCAAGCGGGUUGAAGGUCGAAAUGGGAAGAGCUGCCAAGCGACUCCGUUUUUCAGAAAGAUUAGUUGACAGCUCGGUCCUUUCUUGAUCCUCGGAGAAAUCUGCUUCAUGGAUUUGAUCCAGCAGAAUCAGGUUGCUUUCAUGCUCCUUGAUGUCUGACUCCAAGUCCGACCUAGCCUUCUCGGUUUGCAUGAAGCGAAUGGCCCCUUGGAUCAGUUCCAUCCCGCGUCCCUUAACCUCCUUUCUGGCCUUCGAUGCCGACCUUGCUAACUCGGAGUCACGCAACUUGGCCAGCGCCUUGUACUUCGCGUCAAGCUCGAUAAAUUGGUUGUUCAGGGUAUCGGCGGUUGAUUCGGAUUCAUGAAGUCUACCCUGAACACCAGAAAGUUCAUCCUGGAGUUUGUAAUUCCGGUCAUACUGGUCUUGCAGCUCCCCCUUUACCUGCGCCAGCUCGGAUGUUAAACUGUCGACCUUGUCCUCCAGAUCGUGCUUGGAGCCAGCAGAAGAAUUGAGUUCAGCCUCAAGGGCUGAGAAUUUCUUCUUCCACACGUCAACCUCCUUCUCCCGUCCAAUGACCAACCCUUCGUAAUGUUCGAUCAUAUCGUUAAGUUCGCUAUGAGCCUGGCAUUAUAAACCCAGGAUGGCGAGUCAGCUUGAAGAAUGGCAAUACAUAAAAAAAAAAACAACAAAAAAAAAAAAACAGAAUUAACCCGAGAUGAAUGAUAAGCGUGAAGCAAAUAGCGUUCACGAAUCGCAGGGCGCCAUUUGUUGAAGUCUGGCAAGAUCGAACCCGAUCGGGUCUUGAAGCAUCGGAAGACGCUACCUUCUUUCUCCAUAGCUGCGAAGAAGGAAGAGUUGUAAAAAUUGGAAUUUUAAUAGAGACAAAAAGUUUAAGUAUGUGUAAGUCACCAAACCUGAAAGCGAUUUGACUUGAGGGACGAGAGCAGGCUUCAACCUCGAGGAAGCAUCUCGAGAUUCAGAAUCUCCCCUUUUAGGGAUGCGCUCCGAGCAGUCUUUUCGCUGACGGGCUGGGAAGAAGAAGACAUGUCAACAGGUCGGGGAGGACCCAUUGGUUCAGUAGGAGGGGAUGAUCGAGGUGAACGGUCAGUCCGGGCCCUUGAUUUCUCCCUUCGCGGAGACGAGUCAUCACGGGACGACUUGUCCCUCUUCUUACGAACAAAAUUCUUAAGUGGUUCGUUGCUGAAAUUGUCUCGGGGAGGACGAGGAGAAUCACGACGAGGAGACCGCUCUCUCCGAGGAGAACGUUCGUCGCGGCGUUCGCGACGAGGUGUUAACCUAUAAGCAGCAACGGAUCUGGCUCCCUCGGAGCUGUUGUCAUCAACCAGCAGGGUCCUGCUGUAAUCUUUUUUGUCGAUGGCGGCCACAAGGAACGCCUUGUUUUCAUCACAAGCCUCUGCUAUCGGCUUGGAGAGUUUCUUACGCUGGGCAUCGAGGGCCCGAGCUGACAUUCCCUGAGUUGAGGGAGAAGGCGGAAGACGAUGAAGUAGAUUGGGAGGACUCAUCCUGAGAUUCCGGUUGGCCUCGACAAACCGGUCGAGGGUGAAAGAAUUCCAAAGGGUUUCCCCUUCAAGGAUUGUUUUGAAGAACUUGACAAAAUCUUCAGUCGGGAGAGUUGAAGCGAUGAGAGCUGCGAAAUGAAAUAACGAAUUUGGUCAGUAAAAAAUAAUAAUGAACAAUAAAGGAAUAUACGACCUAGUCUCUACCAGGUUUCGCAGACCACUUCGAUGGGAGUACAUCGGAAAGAUUCCCAAUCGAAGCAGGAGUUUUCUUAAUCAGAAACCAAGGAUGGUGCCAGUUCUCAUCCUUGUUCGGGAGGUGCGAGAUGAUGUUUCUAUUGGCAUUUGGAUACGCCGAGAAGUACCCAGUUUUCUUUGAUGAACUCCUUACGCUUAGGAGUUCAUUCAGCUCGGGGACUCCAAUGACGUAGCCAGCCUCCACCGCAACGGUUAUAAUCCCGAGGAUGGUUCGGAGGAGAUUGGGGGUUAAUUGAGGUAAAGCGAUCUCGAGAGCCGCCAAGAAUCGAACUAGGGCUUCGGGAAGGGGGAAGGUCAAUCCGCAGCCCUUGAAGUAAAUUUCGUAAACACAAUAGUAGCCGACACGGUGGUUCUCCGGGGAUUCCGUAGGGUUGGCUAUUUGCGCCUCCGCUAUGAUUCCAGGAUAAAUUUGACAGAGCCCCUUUAAUCGCUCAAGGGACUGAAGAGUGUAGGUGGAUUUGUAAUGAGGACCGGCAAUAUCGUUAGGACGAGUGCAUUCAUCAUUACUAGAGCGCCUCUCAUCGUAAGAAGGAGAUUCAGGUCUCUCAGAAUCGGGAUUCAUCGGAGAAAAAUGAAAAAUUCAAGAUCCGGCGAAGAAGGGUUUUGUGAAGAAAAGUAGAGAGAGGUUUUGAUUAAAGCACAAAAGUAAAAGAAGAGAGUAAUGGUGAAAAGAAGUUACCUCAAGCUAAUGAUGAAACCGCCUCGGAAGUUGUGUGGGAAGUGGGAAGGUUUUUUUCCCGUUUUAAUAGUAAUUAAUCAAUAUACGGUCAUAAUGAUGACAGAUGUCACUCGGUUAAAAAUGGCUAGUGCCGAAAUUAAAGGAGUGAUGAGAUUUUCGGCGGGAAAUCAGAAAGAUUCUCGAGCGCAAUCUUUGGCCACUUGAGCAUUUAAAGUCCUCCGAAUUGGAAUAGCACUUCGAAGAACUUGGGGGGCUAAUUGUUGGUGUCGGAUCCCGCACCAGAAGUACGAGACCAACCAAAGAUUGCCACGUGGUCAAGAUAAUGGCCCUUAAAAGAUGAAGCCCAUUGGACCCAUGAGCCGAAGGAACGGUCGAAGUGGUGACAAUCCGAAGUGACUGCAUUGUGACAUGAGUUCGAUGUAGAAGACACGGGUAAGUCGGUUCAAGGAUGCUUGGGCCAAAAGGCGAAGCCCAUGAAGAUCAGAGUCAACUCAAAUUCAAACGUUGAGCAUUAAAGCCGAAGAUCAAAACGGACACAUUUAAGAGAGAAUAAUUACACUUAAUUAGCCACUUUAAAUGUCGUUUCUCUAUGUAUAAAUAUAAAGGCCAAUGGCUAUGUAAUGGGGAUCUUCCUCUCAAGAAAGAAAUACUAUAGCAAUUUUCGUAGCAAUUUAGAAGUUUUUACCUAUUCAUUUUUGUCCCUCAAGAAUAAUCUUUCCUACUUAAUAAAAUACUUGAGUGUGUGAAUCCGACAUCCACAAUCAUUAACCCAAAGACAAGAUCUUGCUCUCUUCGAUCUUUAAGUGUCUUUGCCUCCGUGGUGAAUGGUCGUAGCAUUUCUAGCUCAGCUACAAGUGAUCUAUACUUCCCAAAGUGAGUAUUGAAAUCACUUUCAUCUUGAGAUAGACUCCCUAGAGCCUUCUUGAUCUCAUAGACCCGAGUCAAGUUUGAUUCAUUUCCGAACACAUUCAUAAGAGUAUCCCAUAGCUCUUUAGAUGUUUCGCAAUAUGAGUAUCCUUCUAAGAUUGAAGCCUCAAGUGAGCAAUGUAAAGCACUUAGGACGUUCAAAUCAUCUUGUUUCCAAGUGUCUUUAUCCAAGUUCUCAUCAAUUGCUUUCAACUCUUCAAAGGUAACCUCUAUGUGUUUCGUGAGCUUUCUUCCCCCUAACACAUUCGUUGUGGUUCUCUUCCACAAAAGAUAAUUUUUACCAUUCAACACCACUGGAAAUUUCAGCUCCUUGUACUUCUCACUCGUCUUGUGAGCCGUAAGAGACAUUUUAACCCUCUAAGCUUAGAAAUUUCAACCAAAGAUGUGACCUUUUCCCGAUCAAAACCCAAAACCAGAAGCUACAACCUAUGUCACGUCCCUCAACCAGAAGAUUCCCAACCUAAUCAAGAUAAAGUUCGCACCUUUAACUGAAGAACCAACAGAAACAACACAGAUUGCUUCGCCGGAACACCCAACGUGACGCGAGCUCUUCUUUGUCGAGACUUAUUUGAGUAGCGUACACCAGAGUCUUAAAGCUUCCGCCUUUAGACCUUCACUGUCACCUAAAAGCUUCCCACAGAUUGAAUCUUCGAUUUAGACAAGAAAACUAACCCAGAAGAUAUGAACGCGCUUCCGCACAAAAGUAUAGAACACAACCGAGAGAAAAGAGAAGAAGAUUAAAGAAGAAGAUUAAAGAGUAAAGAUUUAAGUUUUAAGAACCCGCUCUGAUACCAUGAUAAUAUUUGAAGAUUAAGUUGGAAGAAUAGGAAGAACCAUGAUGAGAGAAAGAAGAUGUAUUAGAUUGAUAAGAGUUAGGGUUACAAAUGGAGGCACACUUUAGUACAUAUAGAGAACAAACUCUAGGUCUAAGGGGGUGUGUACAAAGACAAUCAUACCCUCUCUUAGCCUUGUAACCCGAGUAACCCAAGUAACCUGUAACCCGAGUAACCCAAGUAACCUGUAACCCGAGUAACCCAAGUAACCUACAUUUAACCCUUAACUAUGACUUAGUUAGUGUUAAAUGUCUUCUUGAUUAACAACACAUCCUUGAAAAAUAUUCUCCAACUUGUAGGGAUAAUACUCUUUUUCCCUAAGCUUGGUUUUGUCCCACGUGGUUUUCCAAGCUUAGGUUUUUAAUGAGGUUAUUCAUACAAGUGCCAAGUUUAUACACAAUUGGGCAUUGUAAUAUAAACUUGAGGGGGAGUGUUAAUCAAGAAGACAUUUAACACUAACUAAGUCAUAGUUAAGAGUUAAAUGUAGGUUACUUGGGUUACUCGGGUUACAUGUUACUUGGGUUACUCGGGUUACAAGGCUGAAUGAGGGUGCUGUUGGUCUUUGUGCACAACCCAUCUCAGACCUAGAUUAUGUUCUCUAUAUAAACGUGUGUGCCUCCUCAUUGUGUUUGACACAUCUUUUUUUUCAUCAAUACAUUUCUGCUUCUCUCCAAUCUUAAAUCAUGGUUUCAUCAAUCUUUCCUACUUAAAUAUUAACAUUUGAUUCCAAGUAUCAUUUGCAUUUUCUUGAAUUAACCAGAACUUAAAGAUAAAGCUUCCUCCCAAAGUAUGCAAAUGGUGAAAUAUGUGCCUUAGCUAAGGUUUCUUCCAGGGGUGAAUUACCUGACAUCAUAGCUCCAUUUAAGGCCUGUUCCACUAAUCUCUCUUGCCACUUGUUUCCGCUGCUAACAAUGAUUGGAGCAUUUUGGAUCGCUAAAUAACUCUGUGUCCACGAAAACAUCCAUCUUUGAGUCUUUUUUAAGCCUUUAUGCUGAUGACACUGUUGUUUUUUGGAGAUCUCGUCUCCAAUUUUGUAUUUACUAAAGAUAAAAUAUUGUGAAACACCUUUUGAUUCUCGUCGUUGAAGAUACCGAGUCUCACGCCCACUUGCAACAACUGACCUAGGCUUCGAAUGGGAGACGGAGAAAAAGCAGUUCUUCUGCAUAUGUGGGUGAAGCGUUUUUAUUUUGCUAUUCAAGCAAUUUGAAUAAACUGUACGUUUGGUUCAAUUAAAAUAAUAAAAUAAUAGCAAUCAAGUUGCAGACCAAAAUUCAUGAAGUUUUUUCUUGAUCCGCUUACUACAGUAGAACCACCACAAUUAUGAUGGAUUUGUGGUGCAUCCUCUUUUGUUAUUAAUUAUUUAUUAUUAUUUUUUUGAAACAAAUCCAAAAACUUUGAAAAUAUUGAGUUACAUAAUUUUUAAUAACAACACAAUGAAUAAUAAAGGAAAAAAAGAUAGUGAUUAGAAAAUUUUGUCUUACAAUAAUUAAUGAGACAUAAGAUAGUGAUUUUACUUUAUAAAAUUAUACAAACUAAAAAUGUUAUCUGGGCGAAAAAACCUGGAACCAAAGCGAACUGACCCUAAAUAUUUCAAAUCGAACCGAACCUAGAAACGAAAUACCCAAACAAAUCUUAAAUUUAAAUUUAUAUAUUUGAACAACCAUAACAAAACCGAUCUGAACCAAACUACGAAUUGAAUAGAUACCCAAUAUAUAAUUAUAUAUCCAAAAUGUUAAUUAUAUAUAGAUUUGAUAUAACCCAAUUAUUUGAAAUUACAAUUAUAAACUCGAAACAAAGUCUAUAAAUAUUUUUACAUAGAAAUUUGAAACAAUUACAUGUUUUUAAAAAAAAAAAAAAAACAAUACAAUAAUUUUAUUUUAAUAUAAUUUAUCAUGGUAUGUAUAAUAUUUAAUUUAAAAUUAAUAUUUUUAUAAUAGAAAUAUUUCACUCGCAUCGUAUGAUCCAUUUUCACCAUUCAACGCAUAUUAAAAGCGUUCGAACCGCUAGAUCCGCUUUUGUACCGCUAGAUCUGCUUGAUCCGCUUUUGUUCUGCUUGAUACGCUUCAUCCGCUUGAUCCGCUCCGCCCGAUACGCUUUCUCCAUUCGGAGCCCUAGUCUUGCGCCUCUCAUAUUUUCAUGAUUUUCCAAAAGAAAAAACACAACAUCUCUCCCUCUCCUUUCUUCUUAAAAUUGUAAGUGUCUCAAGAGUAUAACAUAGAGAAAUUAUUUUCAAAAUUUCGUCGCUUAACAAUUAAAAUUGCCACCAUUUAUUAUUUUUAAUGUUCACAUUGGUUCUUACCACUACAAAUUAAUUACCACAUUUUUACCGGUUGAAUUCAUAUGUUUUAUAUAGUAUUGUUGUAAACAAAAUUUCAAAAACAAAAUAAUUUUAGAAGAUUAUCCAGUUAUCCAUUUUUUAUUUAUAUAUUUUAAAUAUAAAAUUCCCAAUAAAAUAAAAAAAUUAAAAUGAUAGAAAAUAAUUAAGACAUUAUAGUUUAGUACUAAAUCCACACAACGCGUGGGGUCGAUUUCUGGUAUAGAAGAAAGCCACGCACAUCAUCCAUUUGGGAGCAUUUUGCAAAGUAAAUGUUGCUACCGUCAUUUUUUUGCCAAUUUAUCUAUUGUUGAUUUUCUACACACUAAGCCAAUGUUAUUAGUUUGUGAUUUAAAUACUGUUUUGAUUACUUUAGUAAAAUCAUAGAAAGUAAAUAAAUGGUAGACUCUAAACGAGUAAUAGAGAGUUUUCUAUAAUCUUAUUAAUUAGUUUUUCCAUAAUCUUGUAAAGUUUUUCAAACAAUCUCUCUAUUUUGUUAAUAAUUUUCAUGACUUUAUUUUCUAAAUAAAAAUGUAUAAAAUCAUAAACCAAUAACAUAAUAAUUUAAUUCAUUAACAAUCGUAAAUUCUUUUGAUUUAGUUGAAUAACACAAAAAGUUUAUUGACUUUACACAAUUUUGAAUCCAAUAAUUUAUGAAGAUUUUAGAAAACUUUUUACAAAUCAAAAACUAAUAACACUAGACUUUAAUAGAAUUUUAUAAAAUCUUGAAUGUGUCACAUUGUCAUUUAUGGUAAGUAGUAUCCAAAAUAAUAAGCUUAAAUAGAGGAUCCUCACCAUCAACUUCCACUCAUCAUCACAACUUCAACUUUUCAAUACUCAGAUUAACAA